rnacentral:rRNA from 1 species
GAGCGGAUGACGGGAGCUUGCUCCUUGAUUCAGCGGCGGACGGGUGAGUAAUGCCUAGGAAUCUGCCUGGUAGUGGGGGACCACGUUUCGAAAGGAACGCUAAUACCGCAUACGUCCUACGGGAGAAAGCAGGGGACCUUUGGGCCUUGCGCUAUCAGAUGAGCCUAGGUCGGAUUAGCUAGUUGGUGGGGUAAUGGCUCACCAAGGCGACGAUCCGUAACUGGUCUGAGAGGAUGAUCAGUCACACUGGAACUGAGACACGGUCCAGACUCCUACGGGAGGCAGCAGUGGGGAAUAUUGGACAAUGGGCGAGAGCCUGAUCCAGCCAUGCCGCGUGUGUGAAGAAGGUCUUCGGAUUGUAAAGCACUUUAAGUUGGGAGGAAGGGCAGUAAGUUAAUACCUUGCUGUUUUGACGUUACCGACAGAAUAAGCACCGGCUAACUCUGUG